AUUGAACGCUGGCGGCAGGCCUAACACAUGCAAGUCGAGCGGAGCGGCGGACGGGUGAGUAAUGCCUAGGAAUCUGCCAGGUAGUGGGGGAUAACGUCCGGCAACGGGCGCUAAUACCGCAUACUAUCAGAUGAGCCUAGGUCGGAUUAGAGAGUGGGUGGGGUAAAGGCCUACCAAGGCGACGAGACGUAACUGGUCUGAGCGGAUGAUCAGUCACACUGGAACUGAGACACGGUCCAGACGCCUACGGGAGGCAGCAGUGGGGAAGAUUGGACAAUGGGCGAAAGCCUGAUCCAGCCAUGCCGCGUGUGUGAAGAAGGUCUGCGGAUUGUAAAGCACUUUAAGUUGGGAGGCGUUACCAACAGAAUAAGCACCGGCUAACUUCGUGCCAGCAGCCGCGGUAAUUC
rnacentral:rRNA from 1 species